GAUGAAGAACGUAGCGAAAUGCGAUAAGUAAUGUGAAUUGCAGAAUUCAGUGAAUCAUCGAAUCUUUGAACGCACAUUGCGCCCGCCAGCACUCUGGCGGGCAUGCCUGUUCGAGCGUCAUUUCAACCAUCAAGCCCCCAGGGGUUUGUGCUGGGGCCCUGCGGCUGCCCGCAGGCCCUGAAAACCAGUGGCGGGCUCGCUAGUCACACCGAGCGCAGUAGCACAUCUCGCUCAGGGCGUGCGGCGGGCUCCUGCCGUGAAACCCCCCACUGUAACCCCAAAGGUUGACCUCGGAUCAGGUAGGAAUACCCGCUGAACUUAAGCAUAUCAAUAAGCGGAGGA
rnacentral:misc_RNA from 1 species